rnacentral:misc_RNA from 1 species
AAAGUCGUAACAAGGUAACCGUAGGUGAACCUGCGGUUGGAUCAUUAAUAAUGAACCACUCUUGGGUCGAGUCUUUGCUAGCUUGCUGGUAUUGAUUCCCCUCGAGUAUUAACCACUGUGCACUGUAUUGUUUUUUGGGGGAUGUUAGUGUGAUGGGUGAAAGUUUUGCGAAAGCUCGACCGAAACCAGUCCUGCCCCCAGCAUUUUAAAACCAACCUAUUUAAUCAACCUGAAUUUUUUCGUAAUGAAAUAAAUACAACUUUAGACAACGGAUCUCUUGGCUCUC